rnacentral:rRNA from 1 species
CAACCUGCCUAUAACUAGGGAAUAACCUUGCGAAAGUAAGACUAAUACCCUAUGAUUUCCUUUGAUGGCAUCAGAUUAGGAAUAAAGAUUUAUCGGUCAUAGAUGGGGAUGCGUCUGAUUAGCUUGUUGGCGGGGUAACGGCCCACCAAGGCAACGAUCAGUAGGGGUUCUGAGAGGAAGGUCCCCCACAUUGGAACUGAGACACGGUCCAAACUCCUACGGGAGGCAGCAGUGAGGAAUAUUGGUCAAUGGGCGGAAGCCUGAACCAGCCAAGUGGCGUGCAGGAUGACGGCCCUAUGGGUUGUAACCUGCUUUUAUACAGGAAUAAAGUUAGCCACGUGUGGUUAUUUGUAGGUACUGUAUGAAUAAGGACCGGCUAAUUCCGUGCCAGCAGCCGCGGUAAUACGGAAGGUCCAGGCGUUAUCCGGAUUUAUUGGGUUUAAAGGGAGCGUAGGCCGUCUGUUAAGCGUGUUGUGAAAUGUAGAUGCUCAACAUCUGAAUUGCAGCGCGAACUGGCAGACUUGAGUGUGCGCAACGUANGCGGAAUUCGUGGUGUAGCGGUGAAAUGCUUAGAUAUCACGAAGAACUCCGAUUG